GGAUGUGAGGGCGAUCUGGCUGCGACAUCUGUCACCCCAUUGGUCGCCAGGGUUGAUUUGGCUGGUCUGACUAACUAGGCCGGUGUCCCCUUCCUCCCUCAAUGCUCCAUGUGCGUCCCUCCCAAAGCUGCAUGCUCAGUCGAAGAAGACUACCACCCCCGAUAAAGGAGGGCCGUUCCUCAGUUGAGGGUAUAGGAGUGGCUGCGCUCCCCUGCUAGAACCUCCAAACACUCUCUCAAGAACUGGAUUUGUGUAUACAGCCCUUAUAUACUUGUUGAAUACCUUGUGCACUUGAAA
rnacentral:snRNA from 1 species